rnacentral:rRNA from 1 species
AUUGAACGCUGGCGGUAGGCCUAACACAUGCAAGUCGAACGGUAACAGGGAACGGCUUGCUGUUUCCCUGAGGCGUGGCGCACGGGUGUGUAAUGUCUAGGAAAAUGUAUGUUUGAGGGGGGGAAAUACUAGGAACGGUAACUCUUACAGCACAUCGUAGCUAGAGGAGAAAGGAGGGCCUUUGCGCCCCUUGCCAUCGUAUGUGCCCAGAUGGGAUUAGCUUGUUGGUGGGGUAACGGCUCACCAAGGCGACGAUCCCUAGCUGGUCUGAGAGGAUGAGCAGCCACACUGGAACUGAGACACGGUCCAGACUCCUACGGGAGGCAGCAGUGGGGAAUAUUGGACAAUGGGCGCAAGCCUGAUGCAGCCAUACCGCGUGGAUGAAGAAGGCCUUCGGGUUGUAAAGUCCUUUUAGCGGGGAGGAAAAGCGGAAAGUUAAUACCUUGGUCCAUUGACGUUACCCGAAGAAUAAGCACCGGCUAACUCCGUG